UGGCUGCUGCCCUUUAAGAACUGCAGUGCGCGGUCCAACUGGGACUCCUGACCGGUUGGGCGGUCGAGGGCCGGUGUGCGGAGACGGGGACCCGACCCCAGUUCCGAGGCGGCGCGCGGCGGCGGAGCGAGACAGGCGGCCCGGGGCGGCGUGGUCCAUGAGCCGGCGCCGGAGGCAGCGCGGAGCCGCAGACUCCCCUAGCCCCGGCGCGGCCCGGCCUGCCGCGGGCUGAGGAGUCGCGGGGCUCCGGGAAUCGCCCCGAGCUGCCACCAUGAACCCCGAGAAGGAUUUCGCGCCGCUCACGCCCAACACCAUGGGCGCCCUCAGUGACAAGCUCUACGAAAGCUGAAGGUGGCGGCGCUGGAGAUAGACAGGCUGGUCUGGGAGUUCGUGGCCCAGAACAACACCGUGCAGAUCAAGCAUGUGAUCCAGACGCUGUCUCAGGAGUUUGCCCUGUCCCAGCACCCGCACAGCCGGAAAGGGGGCCUCAUCGGCCUCGCCGCCUGCUCCAUCGCGCUGGGCAAGGACAUCGUGACAGAGAGCAACAAGUUCGACCUGGUGGGCUUCAUCCCCUUGUUGCGGGAGAGGAUUUAUUCCAACAACUAGUACGCCCGGCAGUUCAUCAUCUCCUGGAUCCUGGUCCUGGAGUCCGUGCCAGACAUUAACCUGCUGGAUUAUUUGCCGGAGAUCCUGGAUGGACUCUUCCAGAUCCUGGGCGACAACGGCAAAGAGAUUCGGAAAAUGUGUGAGGUGGUCCUUGGAGAAUUCUUGAAGGAAAUUAAAAAGAACCCCUCCAGUGUUAAGUUUGCUGAGAUGGCCAACAUCCUGGUGAUCCACUGCCAGACCACGGAUGAGAACAUUGGAACACUGACAUUUUAAUCUGUUCUGUACAAGAAUGAGUUGUGUCAACACAGUGCUCCCAGCUACAGCACUGAAAAAAACAAGUUUAAUUAAAGACAGAGAAGAAACCGCAUGUGGAGCCUAAGCCACUGAGAUACAAUGAAGAGUGUCAUCUUCAGAGUCAGUUCUCUGAACAAAUCUCUUUGUCAGUGUCAGGAGGGGAAAAAAAGACAUAGCAAAGUAAAGGUGUGCUGUAUACCACAGGGAACUCUACUCAAUAUUCUGUAAUAACCUAAAUGGGAAAAGAAUUUUAAAAAGAAUAGAUACAUGUAUAUGUAUAACUGAAUCAGUUUGCUGUACACCUGAAACUAACACAACAUUGUGAAUCAACUAUACUCCAAUAUAAAAUAAAAAUUUUUUUAAAAAACA